CAGCUUGCUGAGCCAGACAAGAGGCAGCUAUCAUGGCAGUUGGAUGGUAUCCACAAUGUCUCCAGGUGCUCAAGCAGAGUGGAAUAGGAGCGUACUAAGGAGCCUGACACAGCGACUUUUGUGACAUGCUGUCAUCUUAAGAAAACUUACAGCUUUGGCAGAUGGCAGAGUCCAGUCCUUUAUGUGAAUAACCACAUCAUACGUAGAUGAGCUCUCACACUGAAACACGGUGCCUUUCUAUAAUGUCCAUUUGAUGUCAUCUGAAAAAAAAUAAGCAUGCAGGAGCCCAAGUGUGGAGCAAGCCAAGAUGGAGCCAGGUGAGAUGUAUAUGCAAGAUCAUCCAGUGCCAAACAUCAAAGAUACAUGGAGCAUUAACACUGAACAUUAGAAGACGAUCUAGAGAUAAGUUAACAGUCCUAUGGAAUCAUUUUCCCUGUAGAGCUCAGUGAGAUUCUGUUUGCUCAGCUUUCCAGAAUCCCAGUGCCUUGGAUGCUGCUUCUCUGGUUCACCUGAACAAACAUCCCCCACGUGCAGCUUUCCACGCUCUCUCUGUUCAGCCGCUUCCAGGGCAUUUUCCCAACAUCACAACCACAUCACACCAAUGACC